rfam:Sphingomonas sanxanigenens DSM 19645 = NX02 plasmid pNXO2, complete sequence.
CCGGGUGCCUCUGCGGGCCCGGCAGGACAAGAGGGCGUCGGCUCUCUCUCCGACGCCUCAGAUGUCCAAAUUGCUCACGAGGAGGAUUUGGCGAUGAGAG